rnacentral:rRNA from 1 species
CCUACGGGAGGCAGCAGUCGAGAAUCAUUCGCAAUGGGCGAAAGCCUGACGUAUGCGACGCCGUGUGAGCGAUGAAGGCCUUAGGGUCGUAAAGCUCUUUCGCUUGGGAACAAGAGAAGCUAGCUAAUAUCUAGCAAUUUGAGGGUACCAGGUAAAGAAGCACCGGCUAACUCCGUGCCAGCAGCUGCGGUAAUACGGAGGGUGCAAGCAUUAAUCGGAUUUAUUGGGCGUAAAGGGCGCGUAGGCGGGUUUGUAAGUCAGAUGUGAAAUCCCGGGGCUCAACCUCGGAACAGCAUUUGAAACUACAUACCUAGAGGGUAGGCGGAGAAAACGGAAUUCCACAAGUAGCGGUGAAAUGCGUAGAUAUGUGGAAGAACACCGGUGGCGAAGGCGGUUUUCUAGCUUAUUCCUGACGCUGAGGCGCGAAAGCAAGGGGAUCAAACAGGAUUAGAUACCCUGGUAGUCCUUGCCGUAAACUAUGUAUACUUGGUGUAACCGGACUCAACCCUGGUUGUGCCGUAGCAAACGCGAUAAGUAUACCGCCUGGGGAGUACGCUCGCAAGGGUGAAACUCAAAGGAAUUGACGG